rnacentral:rRNA from 1 species
AGAGUUUGAUCCUGGCUCAGGACGAACGCUGGCGGCGUGCCUAACACAUGCAAGUCGGACGGGAACAGUGGAAUAGUUUACCAAUUCACUGUUUUAGUGGCGGACGGGUGAGUAACACGUGGGCAACCUGCCUUAGAGUGGGGGAUAACAGCGAGAAAUCGUUGCUAAUACCGCAUGAAAUUAGAGUUUUGCAUAAAACCCUAAUGAAAGGAAAUAAUCCAAUGGAUUAUUCCGCUUUAAGAUGGGCCCGCGCCUGAUUAGCUAGUUGGUGAGAUAAAAGCUCACCAAGCGACGAUCAGUAGCCGAUCUGAGAUGAUGACCGGCCACACUGGAACUGAGACACGGUCCAGACUCCUACGGGAGGCAGCAGUGGGGAAUAUUGCACAAUGGGGGAAACCCUGAUGCAGCAACGCCGCGUGGAGGACGAAGGUUUUCGGAUUGUAAACUCCUGUCAUUUGGGAAGAUAAUGACGGUACCAAAUGAGGAAGCCACGGCUAACUACGUGCCAGCAGCCGCGGUAAUACGUAGGUGGCGAGCGUUGUCCGGAAUUACUGGGCGUAAAGGGCGUGUAGGCGGCCAAUCAAGUCAGCUGUGAAACCCCGGGGCUUAACCUCGGGCUUGCAAUUGAAACUGAAUGGCUCGAGUGUCGGAGAGGAAAGCGGAAUUCCUAGUGUAGCGGUGAAAUGCGUAAAUAUUAGGAGGAACACCAGUGGCGAAGGCGGCUUUCUGGACGAUAACUGACGCUGAGGCGCGAAAGCGUGCGGAGCAAACAGGAUUAAAUACCCCUGGUAGUCCCCGCCAUAAACGAUGG